AUCAUAUUGUAUAUUUUUAAUCACUGUUACAUAGUUCUCAGCAUAUAGGCAUUUCACUGUCUUGGUUAAAUUUGCUCUCAAGUAUUUGAUGUUUUUGUAGCUAAUACAAAUGGGAUUGUUUUCCUGACUUCUUUAGAUGGUCCUAGAGCAUGUCCUUUAUUCUCUUAUUGUCACCAUUAUGUCUCUGUAUGUCACGCGUCCACCAAUCAGACUUGUACAGUUGCCUUCUAAAUCAAGCAGGAGAAGCAGCAGUCAGAAACAGGAACUCCAAGCCUACUGUUCUUCUCUUGUACCCAUGUGGCUCCUGUUGGCAGUGUGGCUCACGUCUUCGUCUGGAUUUGUAUGUCUUUGCCACCUCACCCUCUGCCUGCCCGUUCACCCUCCGCACUGGCUGACUUACCCUCCUCCUGCACAUUUCCAGACGCCCUCUCAUUUCACCCUGUGGGUUUGCGAGAGCUUCGCCUCCUAUCCAUGCAACCUCUUGCUGUCUCUCCCUGCCCCGCUCCUGAGCACGCGAGGGCAUCCUAUUGCUAAGCUAUGGGAACGUGACCCACUUGAAGGCAAACUGACUUGGGAAAAAAAAAAUGGCAUUUCUCAUUCCAUCUCUAGAGGCUGAGGCUGAGACCUCCAUGGUCUCUGUGUUACCCCAGCCAAUUGCAUAGUUGGUGCCCAUUCAGUAAAGUAGUUGCCUCCGUGAACAGACAGACAGGCUGCAAAACACGGUGCAGACUGAGCAAUGGGUUCCUGGUAAGAACAGACCACCAGGGCCGGCCAUUAACACGGCAUUAUCCAGGACCAUUGUUAAAUGACUCCUCCACUGUGCAUUAGGGUCUCGAGCCAUGUAUGACUUAUUUGUGGCGUGGUGUCGCCAUCAAUCAUGGUCUGGACUGAAGUGAGCUAAAGGUUGAGGUUUAAGGUUUCUUGAAGCCCAGCUCACUUAAUGAUAUUCAUGAGCGGAUGACGUGUUGUGGUAACCAGUCCUUGGGAUCGGUCCAGUCCCAUCCGUGAUCCCUGGGGCCAGACCGCUGGCCAGAUGCCGAGCUUUCUGGAAAACAGUGAUGUGUAUUCAGCAGGAGGCUGGGGAGAAACCGGAUACAGCACUUCUUGUGCUUUCAAAGCUUCGACCAAUGGAGACCGAACGAGAAGGAGAGGUUUAAGAUUUCCACAUAAAACUCAGAAGCUGUGUUGGCCAGGGAAGAGAGGCCAGGCUGCCUUGCAGUCUGAGCUUCCUCUGAGCCCCUCAGCGCUGGAGACUGACCUGAGCACAGAGUCGGCUCUAGAACCGGACACACAGCAUUCACCAUUAUGUCUCAGCCGCUGUCACUAUCUUCAGCAACAACGAUACUGAUACUUCUCCUCCACCUAGUCCGGGCCAGCUGCUUCCCUAGGUGUCUUAAGACACCAGCACCCAUUGCUCAACUUGUCAGAGCAAUUUCAUGGCAGGGUGUGGUGUCCCCAGUUUAGAGGGCGUUGGACGUAUAAACUCUGGGGGUGGGGGAGAGCGAGGGCCCCAGAGAGCAGGUUCUUGUUCCCACAAACCCCCUCUGCGGCAUUGGUUCUUCCCUGGCCCCGAAUGCAAAUGUUGGCCGAACGAAUUUUCUAGUCUCUCCUAGGUAAUAAAAACAGUGCUCCACUUUCUCAAGGCAACUAAAAUUGCAAAAUAUGGAUUCAUUUCAGCAAUAAACAUCAGUUCCACGUCCUGAUCCAAGUCUGGAUUUCACAUGCAGUUGUCUCUCCACCACCUCUUCUCGUGUGGGCAGGAAACCCGCCUGGGAGAGGAUGUCCGAGACGAGCCUCAUGGAGCCUUGCUGCCUGGUGUUCUUCCUCAGGGCCUUGGACAAGGUGGAGAGCAGAGGCGACCAGCAUCAUUUCAGCAUGACAGGGGUGGCUGGCCCUCUCUCUCCACGAGGCCUGCGUCUCGGUGUUCAAACGUCCGUGGAUCACAAAUAUUCAGGAGAAAAGCUGUGAACCUGUACUAGACACAGACACAGACUCCCUUUCCUGCCAGUGUCCCCUAAACAACCCAGUACAGCGGGUGUUGAUGUAGCACGAGGUCGUGUUAGGGGCUGUAAGUCACCUACAGGUGGUUUGCACAUACGGGAGGGCGUGCAUGCGUUCUCUGCAAAUCCUAUGGCAUCCCAGAUAAGACUUGGGCAGCUGUGGGUCCCGGCAAGUCCCCUGUGGAUAGCGGGGCACACUUGCAUCCACGUGGCUGUCACGUGGAAGCCUUGCAGGGCCUGAAGCAUGACCUGUCUUCCUGGAGCACUUUGGGGGCUGCUGGGCACACACCCAUCACCCCAUCAGCUGCUGCGUCGCCGUGAGGCUGCCAUGACAGACUUGGUUUCUGCCCUUCGUGACCGGAGUCCUUCCUUCAGCUCCCGGGACACGGGUGGAUCACGGUGGGUGGACCCCCUGUUGUAGUCUCCUUACUGCACAGUCCUCCAGGACAGGCCCUAGGCCGCUCUACGCUGGCCCUGGGGACGCAGGCCCACCCUGGUGCUGUCUCUCCUCUGCCGUGCCACCAGCGUCUCUGGGCAACCAGCUAGGAGCUGAAUUUUGUGCUCCUCAAGUUCGUGUGUCAAAGUCCUAGCCUCCGACGGGGAUGGAUUUUGGAAAUGGAGCCCGUGAGGAAGUCAGCGAGGUUAAAGGAUGGUCAGCAGGUGGGGGCCUGGACGGACGGGGUUGGUGCCUCUGUAGGGGGACACACCAGAGAGCUCGCUCUCUUUCUCCCUCGGAUGGAGAGGAAAGGCAUGUAAAGGCCAAGUGGCCUUCUUGCAAUCCCAAAGGCAUGCCCUCGCCAGGAGCCGAGCUUGUCUGGGCCCUGGCCUGGGCCUUCCAGCCUCCAGGGCUGGCUACGCUGCCAUCUGCGGGGCUGUGCUAUGGCAAUCCGAGUAGACCAGGACACAGCCCAUCCCUCACCCAGGUGGGAGCCAGGCCGCUGUCCACCAUGCUACUCAAACUUCCAGGCACCUGUGUGGAAUCUUUGGGAGGUGCCCAUGCUGCCCGCUUCCGUCGGCUGGGCCGGUACGCAGGCAACCUUGCCAAAGAACCUGUCUCAUCCCCAGAGCCCCGCAGUCUAAGGGGCUUAAAGUGGGCUUUUGAUUGAUGGCUUUGGCCGGGUGCUGUCCUGAGCGUGGGGCAGCUGUGGUCUCAACACUGACCCGCCUUUCAUUGUCACAUCAUUCGUCAUGUGGCUGCUCAGGAGCUAGGCCCCCAUCUCCAUCCGGGUCUCCUUGUCCUUUCCUGUUCUACCUACCCCAUAGCCCUUGACCUCUAAUGUGCUCAGCACCGAGCCCACAUGAUUGGAUGGCCCACAUGAUUGGACGGCCCACAUGGACUGGUGCUGCUGUCUUGCCUCUGCUGUGUCAGCAGCCGGCACGGAGCCUGGCAGAUAAGGAGGGCUCACUCCGCACCAGCCAUCUCCCUUAGGAGAAUCUCCCUGGGUCCCAACGUUGGCAGUCACCAGCGGACGGAGCCGCAGUGCCGUGACCCAGCUAGCCAAUUCCAAGCAGAAGGCAACGGGCUGUUGGCCUGGCAUGGGAAGGCCCGUGUUUCCGUCCAUGGCCACCUCUGGACCUGUUCAUUCAGAGACCUCUGUUGAGCCCGUCCUCUGCCCAGGUGUGAGCCCUCGUGGGCACGUACUGGCCUCUGCACCCCCGUUUCAGCUCCCAUUGCCACGUGCCAGCAAAGCCUACCCACCGCUGCCCCUGGAGCCACACCCCCUUCUGCCCUCUGCACGCUGUGAGGUUGCCAUCGACUCCACGAGGCAGAGUGAGCUGUUCCUGUGGCUUGGCAAGGCACAAGGACUGAAGAUGCCCUCCCAGCUUGGGAGCCCUGGUGCCCAAUGGGGCUGCCCACCACUCUGAGACUGAUGGAUAGUUCUGGAUUAUUCCACCAGACCCUAAAUGCUCAAAGCCAAGCAGGGCCUCAUUCUGGGGUGGUUUCACCCAUCAGUCAGCCAGCCCUCGGUGUCGGCAGGGGCAGUCUCCAUUCUGAUGAGGGAUUGCAUAGAUGGGAGGACAGACGCACCAGGCAGCCCGCGGGAUGGUGACGCGAGAAGAUUGAUUGGCUCCGCUACCUCAGCACGGCCUCAUGGGAGGACCACGUGAACCUCUGGGGGACACGCUCAGGCCAUAUCCACACCACGGCAGGCAGAGAUGGAGUGAUCACGGACAAGUGACUGUCGUGUGAGCCGCAUCAGGGUGACGGGGCCACGGGAGGGUUUUGCCACUGAAAACAUCUGUCAUGUUGCAAGAGAGCCAGCUGCCCCAGAGAGACCCCUGUAGGUGUCCCACCAACACCCCUCACUCACUGAAGUUCAACAGACAGCUGGCAGGUGCUGCCGGGGGUGUGAACACAGGAGCCUUUGGAUAGCUGUCCUUGGAGCCCCCCCCGACCCCAGAGAGAAUCUUUUCCAUCUACUGGUUCCAUCCCCCAAGUGCCUGCAGUAGCCAAGGCUGAGCCAGGCCAAAGCCAGGAGCUUAGAACUCCAUCUGGGUGUCCCACGAGGACCCAAAGACAGCUGCUGCCUCCCAGGACGCACACUAGCAGGAAGCUCGGACUGCUCCCUGAUAGACACCGGACACUUGCUGAUGGGGACAUUGUCAUUGUCAUCCAAUGGCCAUAGCGGCUGAGGGCCACCCAGGACUGGAAGCAGCACUGAGAGACUGCACGCCACCAGGGCGGUUCAGAGUCGGCCUGCAGAGAUCAGAACAUUCCGGAAGGGGAAGGCUCUUCUAGGUUCUGGAGGUGGACAGCGUGCUGCCCCGCGAACGUCCAAAGCAAGCCGAGACAGAGGCCGGGACGCCACGCCUCUCCGGGACGGGCGUCUGUCCCGGGCGGCCCCCUCUGCGGUACUUGGAGCCUUGGAUGUUGACCAGACUUUGUGACCCGGGCUGGUCUUUCC